rnacentral:rRNA from 1 species
UCCUACGGGGGGCAGCAGUGGGGAAUUUUGCGCAAUGGACGAAAGUCUGACGCAGCAACGCCGCGUGGAGGAAGAAGGUCUUCGGAUUGUAAACUUCUGUUGAUCGGGAAGAAAUAACAAAAAUUAAUACUUUUUGUAGAUGACGUUACCGAUCUAGAAAGCCCCGGCUAACUUUGUGCCAGCAGCCGCGGUAAUACAAAGGGGGCAAGCGUUAUUCGGAAUUAUUGGGCGUAAAGGGCGCGUAGGCGGUGAAAUAAGUUUGUUGUUUAAUCUUUCAGCCCAACUGGAAGUAUGCAUCGAAUACUGUUUCGCUAGAGUAUGAUAGAGAUGAGUGGAAUUUUCGGAGUAGCGGUUAAAUGCGUAGAUCUCGAAAGGAACGCCAAUGGCGAAAGCAGCUCAUUGGGUCAUUACUGACGCUGAGGCGCGAAGGCGUGGGGAGCAAACAGGAUUAGAUACCCCUGUAGUC